rnacentral:rRNA from 1 species
GAAGCCUACGGGACGCAGCAGUAGGGAAUAUUGCUCAAUGGGGGAAACCCUGAAGCAGCAACGCCGCGUGGAGGAUGAAGGUUUUCGGAUUGUAAACUCCUUUUGUUAGAGAAGAUAAUGACGGUAUCUAACGAAUAAGCACCGGCUAACUCCGUGCCAGCAGCCGCGGUAAUACGGAGGGUGCAAGCGUUACUCGGAAUCACUGGGCGUAAAGAGCGCGUAGGCGGGAUAGCAAGUCAGAUGUGAAAUCCUAUGGCUUAACCAUAGAACUGCAUUUGAAACUUGUAUUCUAGAGUAUGGGUGCG